rnacentral:rRNA from 1 species
AUUGAACGCUGGCGGCAUGCUUUACACAUGCAAGUCGAACGGUAACAGGCUAUCAGGUGCUGACGAGUGGCGAACGGGGGAGUAAUGCAGAGGAACGCAUCCAGAGGUGGUGUAUAACGCGGCGUAACGUGGGCUAACAUCCCCUGUUAUCUGAGAAUGCAAGCGGGGGACCGAGCAGCAAUGUUUGGCCUCGCGCCAUUGAAGCGGCCGAUGUCGGAUUAGCUAGUUGGUGGGGUAAAGGCCUACCAAGGCGACGAUCCGUAGCUGGUCUGAGAGGACGACCAGCCACACUGGGACUGAGACACGGUCCAGACUCCUACGGGAGGCAGCAGUGGGGAAUAUUGGACAAUGGGCGCAAGCCUGAUCCAGCCAUGCCGCGUGCGUGAAGAAGGCCUUCGGGUUGUAAACCGCUUUUGGCAGGAACGAAACGCUGUACGCUAAUACCGCGCGCUAAUGACGGUACCUGAAGAAUAAGCACCGGCUAACUACGUG